rnacentral:lncRNA from 1 species
ACUCACUCUUAUUCUGUUGAUUAUUCUGUCCACAUCUACAGUUGUCUGCAAGUCGUCUCAUCCUUUAGAUUAUAAUUUCCCGGAUGUCAGAAACUGUCUCCUGCUUUCUUUGCACAUACAAUGCUUAGCACAGCGCCCAGCACAUAAUACAUAUGUACUACUAAAUACUCACUGGCUCUCUCUCUGUAGGGGAAAUGCAGAGGAUGGAACUCUCCUAUGUUCUACCCCUCUGUUUGUUGAGGGACUCUGGGUGAGAAGGAGGAGGAGUUAGUCCCUCGAGUAAUUAAGGGUCAGGAUCUGCCAAUGAAAUGUUCUGUCUCCGUUUCUUUCCUUUCAGGGGAGGACACCACCCUUUAUGAGAAUACAGCUUGCCUAAAAGGCUCAGCAAUUCUUGCACAGGGCCAGAGAUCCUCCCCUACUUCGCCUGAAGUACUGUCUGAGAGUCUCUAUGAGGCAUUGGACAUCACAGCAGAAGAUGGUUAUGAAAAGAUCAUUCCCUCAAAGAAUCCACAAGAUGAACGAAAAAGAAAAAGUUACUAGGGAUUUUAUGACUGUCCUUUUGCUUCUUUUCAUUAAGGAGGGAUCAGAGGCAUUUCUCAGGGGAGAGAUCUGAGAGAUUUAGGGCAAUGGGAAAAGCAAUUAGGAGAGGAGAAAAUGGCUGGAUUUGGAGGAAGGGAAGGCUUUCAGGAACCCAGGAACAUGCUGACUUCCCAGAAAAGACUGAGAGGCAUGAAAGAACUAGAUGAACGGGUUAGAAGCCAAGCUAUCUUGUGGGAUUCGUUUGGCUGCACACUCUGUUGCACUUCAUGGGCUUCAGCAUUUUGAAUGCUUUCAUGUUUUCUGGCCUUCUUUAUCUCCCUUAUCUAAAUUAAAGUCCUUUUAGAAAGUGCCAGGCUUAUUACUACUGAACUAAGAUGCAGGAGAUCCACCAUUCCUGAUAGUCCUGAGAUGUUGAAAUUCUCAGCUAAGAGCCCAUCCUCUUAUGCACCUAAGAUUUCAAGUAACCAGGAGCCUUUGCUUUAGAUAAUGUAAUCUGGAAGAUGGAUGGAAUCAUCUGGGCUUCCCAGAAGCAGAAUGUGGUCGAUAUUCCUAUAACGGACAAACAAAACUAGUAAUUCCAAUACAACAGCAGCUGCAAGAACAAACCACUUAUGGGAGAAAGAAAUGCCAGCCAUGGGCUCUAAUGAUAGUGAUCCUUGGUGAUAUAGUGAACUACACCAAUGGAGAGCUUCACUCAGGGAGAAAAGGACUUCUAGUCAGGAGCUAGUUUCCUCCCAUUAGCUAUAGACCCCUUACUAUCCUUAAGUUUGCACUCACUUUUUCAGGAAUCUUGUAUUUAUAGGCGAAUGAACCCCAUUUGUUGUUGUUUUUUGUUUUGUGGCUCGGGAAUAUGUUUUAGACCCAAUUUUCAUACUAUUUCUUUUUAGUAAAUACCUUUGCUCCCAAUAAUUGUCUUUCUGUCUGAUUGCUAAUGGGAAGACAACUGGUGGGGAGUUCAUGAGAAACAGUGGUAGAAGCCCUUCAGUUAUCCUCCUGAGAG